rnacentral:misc_RNA from 1 species
GAUGAAGAACGCAGCGAAAUGCGAUAAGUAAUGUGAAUUGCAGAAUUCAGUGAAUCAUCGAAUCUUUGAACGCACAUUGCGCCCGCCAGCAUUCUGGCGGGCAUGCCUGUUCGAGCGUCAUUUCAACCAUCAAGCCCCAGGCUUGUGUUGGAGCCCUGCGGCUGCCGCAGCCUCCCAAAACCAGUGGCGGGCUCGCUAUCACACCGAGUGCAGUAGUUUACUCUUCGCUCAGGGCGUGUGGCGGGUGCUAGCCGUAAAACCCCCAACUUCUCAAGGUUGACCUCGGAUCAGGUAGGAAUACCCGCUGAACUUAAGCAUAUCAAAAGCGGAGGA